GCAUAUCAUAGCGGAGGAAAAGAAACCAACAGGGAUUGCCCCAGUAACGGCGAAGUGAAGCGGCAACAGCUCAAAUUUGAAAUCUGGCCCCCAGGGCCCGAGUUGUAAUUUGUAGAGGAUGCUUUUGGCGCGGUGCCUUCCGAGUUCCCUGGAACGGGACGCCAUAGAGGGUGAGAGCCCCGUCUGGUUGGACACCUAGCCUCUGUAAAGCUCCUUCGACGAGUCGAGUAGUUUGGGAAUGCUGCUCUAAAUGGGAGGUAUAUGUCUUCUAAAGCUAAAUACCGGCCAGAGACCGAUAGCGCACAAGUAGAGUGAUCGAAAGAUGAAAAGCACUUUGAAAAGAGGGUUAAAUAGUACGUGAAAUUGUUGAAAGGGAAGCGUUUGUGACCAGACUUGGGCCCGGUUGAUCAUCCAGCGUUCUCGCUGGUGCACUCUGCCGGCCCAGGCCAGCAUCAGUUCGCGCCGGGGGAUAAAGGUUUCGGGAAUGUGGCUCCCUCGGGAGUGUUAUAGCCCGUUGCGUAAUACCCUGGUGCGGACUGAGGUUCGCGCUCCGCAAGGAUGCUGGCGUAAUGGUCAUCAGCGACCCGUCUUGAAACACGGACCAAGGAGUCGUCUUCGUAUGCGAGUGUUCGGGUGUCAAACCCCUACGCGUAAUGAAAGUGAACGCAGGUGAGAGCUUCGGCGCAUCAUCGACCGAUCCUGAUGUUCUCGGAUGGAUUUGAGUAAGAGCAUACGGGGCCGGACCCGAAAGAAGGUGAACUAUGCCUGUAUAGGGUGAAGCCAGAGGAAAACUCUGGUGGAGGCUCGCAGCGGUUCUGACGUGCAAAUCGAUCGUCAAAUAAUGGGCAUGGGGGCGAAAGACUAAUCGAACCUUCUAGUAGCUGGUUUCCGCCGA
rnacentral:rRNA from 2 species